rnacentral:rRNA from 1 species
UUGGAGGGCAAGUCUGGUGCCAGCAGCCGCGGUAAUUCCAGCUCCAAUAGCGUAUAUUAAAGUUGUUGCAGUUAAAAAGCUCGUAGUUGAAUUUCGGGGUUAGUAGGUUGGUCAUGCCUCUGGUAUGUACUGGUCUCACUGAUUCCUCCUUCCUGAUGAACCGUAAUGCCAUUAAUUUGGUGUUGCGGGGAAUUUGGACUGUUACUUUGAAAAAAUUAGAGUGUUUAAAGCAAGCUAACGCUUGAAUACAUUAGCAUGGAAUAAUGAAAUAGGACGUUCGAUCCUACUUUGUUGGUUUCUAGGAUUGACGUAAUGAUUAAUAGGGAUAGUUGGGGGCAUUAGUAUUCAAUUGUCAGAGGUGAAAUUCUUGGAUUUAUUGAAGACUAACUACUGCGAAAGCAUUUGCCAAGGAUGUUUUCAUUAAUCAAGAACGAAAGUUAGGGGAUCGAAGACGAUCAGAUACCGUCGUAGUCUUAACCAUAAACUAUGCCGACUAGGGAUCGGAUGAUGUUAAUUUUUUAAUGACUCAUUCGGCGCCUUACGGGAAAC